UUUAUUGUGUUGGGAACACGCUGGAACCUACAUCUUUAUCUUGUGAUUUGAGCACGAAGUUUAUCGGGUUGGGAAACAUGAUAAGUAACUAUAUAAAGAGGUGUCUUCUUCAAAGAGUAGAUCGUAGUUUAUUUUGCUGAAUGCCGAGAGAAAGAUUGAGGAAGAGCUAGAGAGAGAGAAGAGAGUUUCUGGUUAGAGAGAGAGAGAGAUCCCUCUCUUGAGAGAGAAAGAAGAAAGAUUGAGGAAGAGCU
rnacentral:lncRNA from 1 species